AACGCACGAGACCUGCGGACCUGCGGAGGGAUCAUUUUUGUAUGGUAACAACGAACACGGUUGGGUGUGUGGUGUGUGUGUGUGGCUUGCUUGUCAAGUCAACUCGCCCACCCUACGCCCACCUGCAAACACAUCAACCCUAAAACACCGUUUGUCUGACUCUGAUAACACACAAUCAAACAACUUUUAACAACGGAUCUCU
rnacentral:misc_RNA from 1 species